rnacentral:rRNA from 1 species
CAGUCGCCGCGGGAAUACGGAGGGGGCUAGCGUUGUUCGGAAUUACUGGGCGUAAAGCGCACGUAGGCGGUUACUCAAGUCAGAGGUGAAAGCCCGGGGCUCAACCCCGGAACUGCCUCUGAAACUAGGUGACUAGAAUCUUGGAGAGGUCAGUGGAAUUCCGAGUGUAGAGGUGAAAUUCGUAGAUAUUCGGAAGAACACCAGUGGCGAAGGCGACUGACUGGACAAGUAUUGACGCUGAGGUGCGAAAGCGUGGGGAGCAAACAGGAUUAGAUACCCGCGUAGUCCCUGUCUCUUAUAC